GUGAAUCAUCAAAUUUUUGAACGCAAAUUGCACUCUCUGCGAAGAGUAUGACUGUUUGAGUGUCAGCCUAUAAAAAUCGACAUAGUUGCUGUUCGCGGUGGCGUUCGUCGGAAAUGGGGCCAUCUUAAAUCCUUUUGAUUUAAGCGACUUAAAAUUUUCGUUUGUUUCCAUGAACGUGUCUAAGAUCUAGUUCUUUACACGUUUAAGGUAUCGAUUUUUACUAGACGUGACCAUAAUAUCAGAUCGCGUC
rnacentral:misc_RNA from 1 species